GACGAACGCUGGCGGCGUGCCUAACACAUGCAAGUCGAGCGGUCCGGCAUUUAACAUUGAGUAUUCAGGGCGUAUGUCGGCAAACGGAGCCGGCGUCAAGCAGAAACAUCCUUAAUAUGGACGAAACUAAACAAGGUUUCUGCUUCACGUAUAUGGACGAAACUAAACAAAGUUUCUGCUUCACGUAUAUGGACGAAACUAAACAAAGUUUCUGCUUCACGCGUAUCAAGUGCCAACACAUAAAUCCUGAGUAUUGAAUGUUAAAUGUCGGAUAGCGGCGACGGGUGAGUAACGCGUGGGCAACCUGCCUUUCACUGGGGGAUAACACAGGGAAACCUGUGCUAAUACCGCAUGACAUCACGUAGGGCAUCCUAUGUGAUCAAAGGAGAGAUCCGGUGGAAGAUGGGCCCGCGUCCAAUUAGCUGGUUCGGUGAGGUAAAAGGCUCGACCAAGGCGACGAUUGGUAGCCGAACUGAGAGGUUGAUCGGCCACAUUGGGA
rnacentral:rRNA from 1 species